rnacentral:rRNA from 1 species
AGUGAACGCUGGCGGUAGGCCUAACACAUGCAAGUCGAACGGCAGCACAGUAAGAGCUUGCUCUUACGGGUGGCGAGUGGCGGACGGGUGAGGAAUACAUCGGAAUCUACUUUUUCGUGGGGGAUAACGUAGGGAAACUUACGCUAAUACCGCAUACGACCUACGGGUGAAAGCAGGGGAUCUUCGGACCUUGCGCGAGUGAAUGAGCCGAUGUCGGAUUAGCUAGUUGGCGGGGUAAAGGCCCACCAAGGCGACGAUCCGUAGCUGGUCUGAGAGGAUGAUCAGCCACACUGGAACUGAGACACGGUCCAGACUCCUACGGGAGGCAGCAGUGGGGAAUAUUGGACAAUGGGCGCAAGCCUGAUCCAGCCAUACCGCGUGGGUGAUGAAGGCCUUCGGGUUGUAAAGCCCUUUUGUUGGGAAAGAAAAGCAGCAGGUUAAUACCCCGCUGUUCCGACGGUACCCAAAGAAUAAGCACCGGCUAACUUCGUG